rnacentral:lncRNA from 1 species
GUCAGUCAGAAAAGCUAGACAGCCCGAGUGAUUCCCUUCUUCUGAGAUAGCUCUUGGGUUCGCAGUUGCAGGCGGGAAACCUAUUCAGUCGGAUGUACACAAAUCUCUCUGGAGGGCUGCGGCGAAGGGACCUUGGAGCUGGCAGAGGCAUUUCCUGUCUGCGGAGGAUCUUGACUUUGGAGCAUCCGGCCGUCGCCGCGAGCAGCCGAACACUUUCCUGCGUCGCUACUUAAAAAAAAAAAAAAAAAGUCACUGCCAGUAUCAGGCGACUUUCCACAUGAAAGCCAAUGAGGCCGCUUCCCACUUUAAAAACAUUUGUUUAAAACAUAUUUUCUAAGCAUUCCUUAGACUCCUUUUUAUUUUGGAAGGGCAGAGGACAAUACCAGCCUCUGGCACACAGACGAUGGUUGAGAAAUGCUUGUUGGCUGGGUGUGGUGGUGCAAGCCUGUAAUCACAGCACUUUGGGAAGUCAAGAAUUGCAGCCAUUUGCCUGGUUAUGUGCAAGGAAGGAAAACCCAAAAUAUUACCUAUGAGAGAGGAGAUGCUGAGCUCUGACUGGAACCAUGAGAAGCUGUAACCCUCUUCAUCUCUUUUGGGCCAAGGAUCUGCCCUCUUCUGACACUGGGCAGAGUAAGAAUGGGAGGUGGCAGUUACAGUGUAUUUUUGCUUUGUUUAUGUCUGGUGAGUCAGCAAAUCUCAGUCAGAGGAAAUAGAAACCAAUCUCAGUUAUACCUUUGUAACUAGCAAAAUGUCUUUUGAUUGGACUAAGAGACCUCCUCGGGUUCACAUUCUCUACUUUCAGAGUCUUGCUGGCAUCUUCUGGGUACCAAGGCACUCAAUUUUGGCUAUGGACAUGGAGGCUGCGUUCCAGAAUCAUUUCGGUGAUUUUUAUCCUUCUCCUUUGAGCUACAUUUUUUUUUUUUUUUUUUUUUAAGACGGAGUUUUUCUCUGUCAUCCAGGCUGGCAUGCAGUGGCACGAUCUUGGCUCACUGCAACCUCCACCUCCCGGGUUCAAACGAUUCUCCUGCCUCAGCUUCCCAAGUAGCUGGGAUUACAGGCGCCUGCCACCACGCCCAGCUAAUUUUUUUAUUUUUUGUAGAGACAGGGUUUCACCAUGUUGGCCAGGCUGGCCUCGAAAUUCCUGACCUCAGGUGAUCCACCCGCCUUGGCCUCCCAAAGUGCUGGGAUUACAAGCGUGAACCACCGCGCCCGGCCCCUUGAGCCAUUCUUAUUUUCUCUAUAACAACUCCAAAAUGAAAGUUCAAGCAAAUGGCAUUCCCCCUCUGCUUCCCUCCUUCCCCUAUUCCCUAUCCCAUGAUGAACACAGCAGUUACAAUGAUACCUAAACUGGGUGUUUAUUAGGCUGAGGAAUGUAUUUGCUUUCAUUUUUAAUAAUAGAGAAUCCCGGACAGCUAUUAUUCAGAUGUAUUCCUAAUUGUUUUGUUUCCAGGUAUUAUUGUAUAUGGACUUAAAAAUUUUCCUUUCCAAUUUCUUGUUGCUAGUGUCUAGAAAUAAAAUUGAUUUUUGUGUGUUGACUUUGC